rnacentral:rRNA from 1 species
UACGUAGGGUGCGAGCGUUAAUCGGAAUUACUGGGCGUAAAGUGUGCGCAGGCGGUCUCGCCAGUCAAGUGUGAAAGCCCCGGGCUUAACCUGGGAACUGCGCUUGAAACUACGAGACUUGAGUGUGGCAGAGGAAGGUGGAAUUCCACGUGUAGCGGUGAAAUGCGUAGAGAUGUGGAGGAACACCGAUGGCGAAGGCAGCCUUCUGGGCCAACACUGACGCUCAUGCACGAAAGCGUGGGGAGCAAACAGG